UUUAAUUAUAUAAUCUUCUUCACGUUCUGACAUCGUUUCACAUUAUACGACGAUGAAUUUGAUACAGAUCUAUUCAUAUCAAUAAUACCUAAUUAUUUAUUUUUCAGGGUUUUGAUGAUUAAUUUAUCACAGAUUACACGGCCGAAGGAAACGCAGUACCGAUCCAUGUGUUACAAUCAGACUGAGUCUUCAUGCAGUAGGCCUACAUUCUGGAAUGAGGAACACCGAAUGCAUUGUGGUCCAAAUUGAUGGCAUUGACUUAACACAAAGCAUUAUCUUAAAAAUCUGGGCUACUUCGAGGAAACUACGUAUACUGUCUGAAAUCAGUCUUGUGCGUCGGUGACAAAAUGUAUACAUAUCCUACUAUAACUCUGCUGGAAAAUAUUAUUUUGUACUAUUUUCCUACUAUUUUAGAAAAAAAAA